UGGGGAAUAUUGGACAAUGGGCGAAAGCCUGAUCCAGCCAUGCCGCGUGUGUGAAGAAGGUCUUCGGAUUGUAAAGCACUUUAAGUUGGGAGGAAGGGCAGUAAGCGAAUACCUUGCUGUUUUGACGUUACCGACAGAAUAAGCACCGGCUAACUCUGUGCCAGCAGCCGCGGUAAUACAGAGGGUGCAAGCGUUAAUCGGAAUUACUUGGCGUAAAGCGCGCGUAGGUGGUUCGUUAAGUUGAAUGUGAAAGCCCCGGGCUCAACCUGGGAACUGCAUCCAAAACUGGCGAGCUAGAGUAGGGCAGAGGGUGGUGGAAUUUCCUGUGUAGCGGGGAAAUGCGUAGAUAUAGGAAGGAACACAAGUGGCGAAGGCGACCACCUGGGCUCAUACUGACACUGAGGUGCGAAAGCGUGGGGAGCAAACAGG
rnacentral:rRNA from 1 species